UACGCAGGGGGCUAGCGUUGUUCGGAAUUCCUGGGCGUAAAGCGCACGUAUGCGGAUACUUAAGUCAGGGGUGAAAUCCCGGGGCUCAACCCCGGAACUGCCUUUGAUACUGGGUAUCUCGAGUCCGGAAGAGGUGAGUGGAAUUCCGAGUGUAGAGGUGAAAUUCGUAGAUAUUCGGAGGAACACCAGUGGCGAAGGCGGCUCACUGGUCCGGUACUGACGCUGAGGUGCGAAAGCGUGGGGAGCAAACAGG
rnacentral:rRNA from 1 species